GAAAAAAAAAAUCGUGAGUGCCUAGCAAUAGCAUGAGCGACACAAUUUGCUGAUCGUCUAACAAAACGUAAAUGCACAGAUUGUAAAGAAGAUAAUAAUAAUUGGAAAUCCUAAAUAAGUAAGCCAAAAUUUGAGGAGAAAGUUUGGUUACUUCGGAUGGCCUGAAACGAGAGCAAGCUAUCAGUUUCCAUUUGUACAUUAUUCUAGUUGUGAUUCUUAAUCCAACUAAGAGCCUCUUUAAAGCCCAAAGCCUCCACAACUUCAGCAGUAUAAUGACCACCUUGAAAACAUGUUUUAGCUUCUAUGAGUUUUGCUGAGCUAUCCCUUGCAACCAACGCAUAGCCAUCGAAAUCUUCUUAAUGAAAAAGAGCCGCAUCAACAUUUAUUUUGAUGUGAUUUAAAUCUGGUUUUACCACUGCUUAGACCCUUCCUCAUUAUUUCUAUUAACAAUGAUAAAAGAGUUGAUUUGUCCUGAGAUUUCUUCCAAUGAUCAAAAGUAGUUGAAGCAGAAACAAUAACACCAUUCACAGUAGAGGUCGUUUGUCCCAAACGGUUUGGUUGCGAGCUUUCCACACCGCCCAACAAAGUACAGUAGCACGACAAACCAUAUCAGCAUCACCAAUGUGCAAAAGAGCAUCGACCCAGGUGCCAAAAGAAGCUGAAAUAUCAGUGCUUACAGGGGCACUGAAACAUUCCAGCAGGCUUUAGCAAAGCUACAAUGCAGCAAUGCGUGAGUGGUGGAUUCCGGAUGAACUUUGCAGACAGGGCACUUGACUGAAAUCUGGACAUGUUUAGUAACAAGAUUAAGACAUGUAGGGUGACAUCCAGUGAUUGCACGCCAUAAAAAAUUAAUAACCUUAGGUGGGAUUUUCAGGUGCCAAAGUUUUCUCCAAAAACCAGAAUUGUUGGAGCCUUGAAUUUUGGGGCGUUGCUGCUAUAGCAGUAAAUAAGCACUACGAACUGUGAAGAGGCCAGUUCGAUUCUCAACCCAAGACCAACAGUCAGCAGUAUCAGUAUCACAAAGGGGCAUCCUUAAUAUUAAUUCAGCUUCAUGAGCCAAAAACAGAUCAUGAAUAACAUCACAAUCCCAUCUACAAACUCCAACUUAGAAGAGUGAAUUGACUGUGUUAUUAUGCAGAGAUGGGUGAAUAGAAUUAACAUGUCUGUUACUCGAAUGGGGUAACCAAGGAUUGCCAGUAAUGUUAGUAGUAGCUCCAUCACCAAUAAUACGAAUAGCACCUGAACGAACCAAAUCUUGUGCACCCCAAAUGCUUCGCUAAACAAAGCUUGGAUUAUAACCAAGAUCCGCUGAAAGAAAAUUCGAAUUAGGAAAAUAUUUUGCCUUGAACACUCUUCCCACAAGAGAAUUUGGAUUACACUACAACCUCCAACCUUGCUCUGCAAGCAUAGCAAGAUUGAAAUCAUGCAAAUGUCUAAAUCCCAUACCACCAUCCUUCUUAGAGGAAGCUAGCUGAUCCCAAGUCAUCCAAGUAAUACCACGACCUUUACUAGACUUAGUCUUCCACCAGAAAUUUGCCAUUAGAUUUUCAAUUUCAUUACAAGUCCCAAUAGGAAGAAGAAAAACACUCAUUGCAUAUGUAGGCAGCAAUUGGAGGACGAUUUUAAUGAGGAUUUCUUUGCCAGCACGAGAAAGAAACUUUCCUUCCCAACUAUUGAUACAGGAAAUGACUUUGUUCUUGAUAAAACCAAGAAUUGUGUUUUUAUUGCGGCCAAUAACAUUGGGAAGGCCAAGAUAAAGACUGCCUGCAGUGGCUUCGACCAUAUUAAAAGCUGAACAGAUAUGUGAGCGAGUGGAUAUGUCUGCAUUUUAUGGACUUUAAUUGGUUCACAUAAUUAAACAUUUAGUCCUUUUCACUUAAAUAAAUGAAGAAAAAAAUAUAUUAACAAAAAAAAUUAUAUAGUAAGCUGAUUGAACUUAAAACAAACACAUGCUCAUCAACAAUAUCAGAGAUAUCAAUACAAGUAUAUUGCCUCAAUAAAAAGAAAAUAAAAUUACACAUUGCAGCUAUUUUAUUAUAUAAGAUAACGAUAUACAUAUAAAAAAUAUACUGAAAUUAAAACAUUUUGUAUAUAUGCAACUAGGCAAUAUAGUCGCUCUUCGCGUGGCUAUUUAAUUUUGUUUUAGUAUAAUAAUUAAAAAAGAAUUACUUAUGAAAAUAAUAAAUAAUAAUUUUAAAAUUAAUUAAAUAUAUAAUAAUAUUAAAAUUAUACUAUCGAAUUAUUUAUUAAACAUAAAAUUGGAUAAAUUAUAUUUUAUAUAUUAAGAAGUUUAAAAUUUAUAUGAAUAAUGUAUAUAUAUGGAAUUUUAAAAUUUUCUAUGAAAAAUUAUUAAUAUAAAAAGAUAUAAAAUAGGGUAGUACAAAGAAAAAUUAGAGUAUUAUUAUUAUUAUUUAAGUAAAACUAUUUCCUGUAAUCAAUAAUUUAUAUCUCAAUUAUUCAAAGUCGUUGUGAAUCAUUGUAUCUCACCUGUUGCUAUCACCAUAUCCCACAUUUAGUCGUUACAGUUGUAAUUUCCAAAAGUUUACUUGAUACAUAAUAAUACAAAUAAAUAAUAUAAUGAAGUGCUAGUGGAAAUGAAAAGAUCAAAAGUUAAAACAAAAAAAUUAAACACUGCAAUAUCAUAUCCAUAUAAAAGCAAGAUUAAUAAGAGAUGGUGUUAAAACUUUAUAAGAAAGAAAAGAUUAAAAUUAAAAAAUUUAUAAAGAAAGCACAUAAAAUUAAGAGAUCUAAAUAAAUGAACGAACAAAAAACUAAGAAAUAUGUAGAGAACUUACCAUACAACACCAAAUUCAAAUGAAAGAAAUAUGAUAAGAAAAAAUAAUUAAAAAAUUUAAAAGAAAUGCAAUAAAAAACCUCAAAUCUAGAUAAAUACGAUAAAUAUAUGAGAUAUGUAUCUAAUCAAAUGUUAUAAGAAUGGAAAGAUUAAAUGUAACACCCUGUCCAACAAGGACGCCACGUGUGUGUGUUUUUAUAAAAUUCUUAUUUUAUAUACUAUAUAAUUAUACUAAAAGUGUGGGUAAUUAAAUUUUGAUAAUUAAAAAUAGACAUAUAAAACUAUAUGAUAAAAGAUAAGUGAUAUUAACUACGGGGUCUCCCUGUUUUCAAAAUAUUUACAAACUAGUUUAAUAAUAUUUUUUACAACAUAAACUUUGUAUUUCCAAAAUGCAUUCAAAAUAGAGCAUCCUGUUCACUGGGCCGUGCCACUGCGGCUGAUAUGUACAUUGCUGCUACAACCUUGAACUCAUGGCUGCUCAACCUUUGCCUUCCCUUUACCUGCACCAUAAAGCACCCGUGAGUCACAAGACUCAGCAAGAAAAGUAAAUAAAAUAAUAACUGGUAAUAAUCAUCAAUUCAAUCUCAUAUCAACAUGCUUACACAUUUACACAAUAUCAUAAAUACACAAUCCUGGUACUUUAUAAAGUACCCCUUUACCACUCGCUAACCACGAGCUGAAUAUGUCACUAUCGUUGCCUGAUGAAGCAAACGAUAUGUAAGAAACCUAUCUGCGGUUUCAGGAGUAAUUACUCAUGUUAUCCCAAAAUUGGCACUCUGACGUGGCCUCACAAGAAUGGUGACAUGUGACAUCUACUUAAAGCACCUGGUCGGAUCAACAUGCCGAGCAGGAUGCCUCGCUGGCAUGUCCAUAAUGGAAUACUCAACAAGCCGUGCAGAAUGAGCAACACUUAGCGAAUUCAACCAAGCACAUCGUGAGUCACCAGCUCAAUCCCUAUAACUCAGGGAUCAACUUACGUGGAUGUGGCAUACACACGAUCCCACUAUCGGUGUAUUCAGCCUCAAUCCCACGAUCCUAGCAUUCAGCAAUGAUCACACGAUCUUUCUAUUUAUGCGCAUUGUAACAAGAGAGAAAACUCUUCCUCCUCAAGUUUCCUGCCCUAUAAAUAAUGAGGAAUGUUCACUGGGCAAGGGAUCGAUCGAAAAACUGUAAACAGAGAUAUUAUACGCCGAAACGCUAUAAGCUAAGGCUAUCUAAGAAUUAUAUAUUCAGAGAUAUUAUUGUAAGAGCUAUAAGAAAAGGAAUCUUCGUCCUUAUUCUUAAGUCAAUACAAUUAACGAGGAUUAGGCUAUUACCGAACUGCUCGGGGCUGAACCUCUAUAAAAUUUCAGUGUCUUCUUAUUAUUGCUUUAUUUACAUAUUCAUAUUACGACAUAUCGUUUAUCGCUUAUCAAAAAGACUCAUUGUCGUUGGCUAAAAGCGAAGUCAACAUUUUGGUGCUUUCAUUGAGAGAAGAAUCACAGAUCGCUCUUUUGACACGAUAGUGCAAACUUGUAGAGGCUUGUCCGACCCAUCAAACUCAGAGACGCUGGAUCCGAUGUUGUAGGAGCCAGGGAGUUCGAGGAUUCCACCCGCUGUUACUGAAAUUGCGCUUGGUGUGCAAGAGACCGGAAACAAUGGUUCCGCACACAGCCAGGACGUUCUUAACAUGACUGUUCCGCCAGGCAUCAACGCCCAGACGACCAUCGGAGAUGCAACCGAAUUAGAAAACCUCCGCGCUGUGCUUGGACUCAUGCAGGGUCACAACAAUACCCUGCAUCACGAUUAGGAGGAAUUACGUGCCGCAAUAAACCUCGCGUUUGACGAACAUAGGCGUAUGUUCGCCGAGUGGAGGGACAAAGAGAUGGAGGCAUUAAGGGCUUAACAUGCAGAGAUCAAAGAUCAUAGUUGGCAAGCCACUGUGCUAAUACGAAGAGCCUAUCAGAUUGUAGGCCAGCAAGCGCAGAGCGUCAUCCCCCUUGGAGAAACCGAGGAUGACCCAACGGUGAAUGCUUCCCAGACAACCAACGGUCAGCCGUCCAAUCCCCGGUCACGAGUUCCACUCGUGGGCCAAGAGGUAGGCAGAAAGACCUUGUCUGGGAAUUCAUCAGGAGGAGUCAUGCUCGAUGGAUCCACGCAAAAUAAUGGAGCCAUUCCACCUGCCAACCAAGCGAACCAAUCACAAAGGCAGCUAGGUUCUUCUGUGUUCGAAAGGUUGGGAACAACCCGUGACCUAAGGGACGACCUAAACAGAAGAAGGGGAACAGACGAGCAGAAUACUACGACGAACGUGCAGUCCAGAGCCCAUACUCAAAUCCCCGCUUAGAAAGACGCUGACAUAGCACAACCCGACCAGAAUGCCAAUCAAGUCAGCCCAGUCGUACAUGCUCAGCUUGACGAACUGAAGAAUAUGUUUCAUGGCAUGGUCGGGCAGCGUAACAAUGAUCUUGAGUUAGACCGUGCACGCGGAACUCCCUUCUCACCAGAAAUCAACCUCCUGCCACUACCUCACAAGUUCAAGAUGCCAACGUGGAAGAUGUACACUGGAAGAGAAGAUCCUCUCUCCCAUCUCAAGUAUUUCGAGAUGCAGAUGGAUUUACAAGGGGUACGAGGAGACGUAUGUUGCAGAAUCUUCCCCGCAACUCUGUCAGAGGCCGCAUAGCAAUUGUAUUUCAAGUUGGCUCCAUGAAAGUUUAGUUCAUGGAAAACCUUCUCUUCGGAAUUCCAUGCACAAUUCUCUUCCUCACGCCAACUCCCAUUGCAUCUGGGAGAUUCAGUCGAAGUAAAACAGCGACCAGGCGAGCCACUCCGGGCACACAUCAGCAGGUUCAUGACGGAAGCGACCAAGGUGUCAUGGGUAACCGAGGAUGGAAAGUUAUCGGCGAUAAUGGGGGGCAUUGAAGUCCUUGGCGAACUAUGGAAGGACAUAAAGAAAAACGGACCGGUCGACUCAAUGAGUGAUUUCCUUGACCGGGCCGAAGGUUUCAUCAAGCUCGAAGAAGCCAUUCAGCGAGCAGAAGGUGAGCAAAAGCCGAACAAAACGAAGGCUCCUUCUACUUGAACGUCCGCCCAGCUUCCCCAAUAUUCCAGCAAUUCAAGUGACAAGCGUUCAGGCAACAACCACAAGCAAGGGAACAGGAAGAAGGGAAAGUUCACCGAAAAGCCCAGACAGACUCCCCGCGAUUGCGCCAAACACACUGCAUUCACUAUCCUAACUGAGGAUAUAGAAAGUGUGUACAUAGCGACUCAGUCGUUAAUUUCGUACAAGAAGCCUGGGCCCAUGAAGAAAGAUACCAGCAAAAGGGACAUGACAAAGCUUUGUCGGUUCCAUGGAGACUACGGCCACGACACCAACGAAUGCUACAACUUGAAGCGGGAAAUAGAACUUCUGAUCAAGAAGAACAACCCGCACUUAUAGAAGUAUGUCAAGGCCAACCAAGGUCAGAAUAACCAGGAUCUGAUGCCUUCGCCAAUAGAUGGACACUUGCAAGUCAUCAUUGGAGGCCUGCACAUCGCUUGAGACACGGGCAAAGCUUGAGAACGAUAUGCCCGCACAGCUUAAUACGUGCAAGAAGAAGUCAUCCUGGCCGUGGAAGAAAGGAAGCCCAAAGUUCCACGAGCAGGAGAGCCAACCAUAACAUUCAACGACAAAGAUGAUGUCUAGAUAAAAUUUCUGCACAACGACCCGCUAGUCCUGGAAGUCCAGAUAACAAACAAAAUGGUGUCCAGAACCAUGAUCGAUAAUGGGGCUUUUUCAAAUAUUUUUUUAAAGACUGCGUACGAGAAGAUGGGGCUCCAACUCAAGGAUUUAACUCCAUGCCUUCAGCCCGUCUAUGGUUUCUCCGAUCAAGGAGUUGCACCUCUGGGACAAAUCCGCCUACCCCUCACAGUUGGACAAGCUCCAACGAGCAUAACUAUCAUGGCACAAUUCCUGAUAUUCGAUGUUCCUGCAGCCUUUAACGUAAUGCUAGGCCGACCAGCCUUGUAUGACUUAAAAGCUGUCACAUCAAUAUUCCAUUCGUGCCUGAAGUUCCCAACCAAAAACGGGGUAGGGUGUCUUAGAGGGAACCAACAAUCUGCUCGGGAAUGUUACAACCUUGCAGUGGCCAAGGCUAAGAAGGAAGUAUCCUCCCGCCAAAGCCCGGACAAGGGAAUAAAUAUUCCCAAGUAGGAAAUGUUGGAAAUUAUUUUACCAGGAUCUUUGAUCGACUCACAAGUAUGUUUAUUAACACCCUAAAUAUGAACUUUCUAAAACGAUGAAAUAAACACAUAUAAAGUUUAAUAAACCUUACAUUGGGUGCAGCGGAAUAAUAUGACUCCUUCCGUUCAGAUAUCUAGCCCUUGAUUCCUUUCUGUAGCAGAGCAUUAUCAAUAUCUGAACCUGGAUUUCUUUCUCUGAAUCUUUGAUGCUGAAACUCCUUCUGCUGAAUGUCUUUCUUCACGAUCUUCCUCACUAUGAUUGAGGUAUCACUUGCUAUGUGUGGACACUACUCAUACACUAAGGAUUUCGAAAUUUCAAUGAAGAAGAAAGAGAGAGUGGGUUCGGCCAAAGAUAGGGAGAGAGAAGGCUCAGGUUUUUCUGAUUCAGAAAGUGUCAGAAGAAAAGUCUAAUUUUCCUGAAGCCUUCACUAUCUAUGUAUAGCAUUCCACUAGGGUUAGGUUUGAAUUAUUUGGCAUUAAAAUAAUGAAAAUAUCAGAGGGAAAAACCCUACAAAAGUGGCCGGCCCUACAUAGUGGAUUUGGGCCUCACUUUUUGCAAUUUUGCAGUUUUAUCUUUUCUGCAUCUGAUUUUCUCAAAAACGCCAAUUUUCUAAUUCAACCAUUUAAAUGCCAAUUCUAACUAUUUAAUAACUAUAAAUAAUUAUUAAAUAAUAUUGUCAUUUAUCAUAUUUAUUAAUUGAACCAUACAAAGUAUCAUAAUUAACAAAUAUGCCCCUAAAACUCUUUCUUUACAAUUUCGCCCUUACUUAGUGAAAAAUUCACAAAUAAACAUAGUCCAAGUUGAGAAUUAUAAUUGAUUAAUCAAAACCAAUUACAUGAGUCUUACAAGCAAUAUUAUCUCAACUAGUGCGGGGACCAUGGGUCUAUAUAACCGAGCUUCCAAUAAGUAGAUCAAGAAUUUAUUUCUAAAAUUCACUAACUUAUUAAUUCUUCGUUGAAUCCACGUAUAGAACUUAGAAUUGCACUCUCAGUAUAUAGAAUGCUCUAUAUGUUCCACCAUAUAGACACAUCAUUAGUUAUCCAUUGUUAUAAUCCUAAUGUGAUCACUGAUCCUCUAUAUGAAUGAUCUACACUGUAAAGGGAUUAAAUUACCGUUACACCCUACAAUGUAUUUAUUCCUUAAAACACUUGAUCCCGUAUAAAUGAUAUUUCAGCUUAUGUGAAAUGAGUACUCCACCAUUUAUGUUCGUUUGGUCAAGCUCGAAGGAGAUCAUCCUUUGCUUACUAUUCGCCAGAUAGAAGCUAUAGAUUCCAUGUUUAUGAUAGCGCUCCCACUCAAUUGCACUACCGUGUUCCCAAAAUGUACAUAUCACCCUGACCUAAAAGUAGGCUUAACUAACAAAUCAAAGAACACGAAUAGCCUUUCAAGAUUGAGCCUAAUCAUAUCAGGAUUAAGAUCAUUUGAUCUAGGAUCAACUAGGCGAUAUUGACUUGAAUAGAUAUUACGGUAAGUUUAAUAAAUCUGAGUCAAAGUUCAAUAUCGGUCCCUUCCGAUGCAUACUCCAUGCAUCCAACCUGAGCUUUACUUUAACCAAUGCUCUGGAAAGAACAUAACACUUCUCCAAAUGCAAGUAAACUCUAUUGUAGAUUAUCAUAUCAGUAAAACCCUAUGUCUGAUAAAUCUAGGAAACUUUAUUCACAUAGUCAUGUUUACUUUCCAAUGUGUUGACGACACAAUAAACAGGAUCAAGUAUGUGAAAAGGGUUUCAGAUGAAUUUAUACAUUAUGUACAUAUAAUCAUGAAAUAAAUCAUGUGAACCAUGCAACAUUAAAUGUUAUUUCUGAUCUAUAUUAAUAAGUAAAUCUGAUUAUAUUGAAAUGAGUUUUAUUUAGGGCAUAAAACCCAACAAACUCCCACUUGCACUAAUAUAAAAAAAAGUGCGUUUCAAGUAAUCUCAACACCUCGAUAUACAAAUCAAGUGUAGUAGUAGUAAACUCCUCGUAAUAGGAUCUGAAAGGUUGAAUUAAACACAACCUUUUCUCCACUAUUACUCUUCCUUAAUCACAAAAUCAUUGAUAAUGUGAAAUUCCUCUCUAUAUGUCUACUCUCUUGGGAUACUGGAUUCUAUAUCUUCGGCAACUACUUUUGGUUAAUCAGGAAAUUAACACUAGUAGUUUUAGGCAAUUUGGAAUGGUGCCAAAGAUGUAUAGAACUUUCCUUAGACUGAAUAAGUACCUUUCCUGCAGCUUUGACAUUCAGUCCCUUUCUGGUAGACCUAGAGACUUCAGAUAGGUUUUUACACUUCUCCAAAAUCACUAUUCCACCACCAGAUUAACCACCAUCUUAUCAGAAAGAUUUACUAGCACAAAGGCAAAUUUCGAAAUCUGAUAUGGUGUAGUCUAUGAGUUUUAAAGACACCCUUAUAGACUAACAUAUAGUUCCUUUUCUUAAUCUUGGGAUUUACUUGAUUGUCUUCCAAUGUUCUUCUCCUGGAUUAAUCUGAUACCUACUCAUUACUCCCACUCAACAGCAGGUGUCUGGUCUAAGGCAUACAAAAGCAUAUCUAAGACCUCUCACUGUUGAUGUAAGAAAUUCUUUCAUGGCUUUAUCUUUUCUGGAAUAGUUGAGACUUUUCCUUAGAUAAAUAAAAUCUAUGCCUAAGAAGUUGUGAAGCUUCUAUAGACACUACUAGAAAUUAGGCUUUUAUAGUGACACCAUAUAGUGACACUCAUAAAAAUGUGGGUCACUAAAAAAUUAAGAGUGGCUUUUAGUGACACACAAGAUUCGAUUCUAAAUGUUCAGUGUUUAUUACGCGAAAUGUGUGUCACUAAAAAUAUGGAGUGUCACUAAAUACUAAAACCUAAAAUAUAUAAUUUUAUAAAAAUUAAAUUAAAAAAAAAAACCAAGGCCUAUGGAGACACGCAACGCGUGUCAGCAAACGUGUUUCCCUACGUUUCCUGCGCGUCGCUAAAGCCACGUGAUUCUCACGUGGCUUUAGCGACGCGCAGGAAACGUGGGGAAACAAGUUUGCUGACACGCGUUGCGCGUCACUGUACCCCUUUAUUUAUAAAAAAAAUAAAAAAGAAAAAUAUCAUAAAUCGAUUAUCAGCCCUAAAAAUUCAUCAUCUUCAUUUCUUCAUCCCGCCCAAACUCUCUCCCCUACCAGACGCCCAGACGCCUGAACCCCCUGCAAUCCUCCCACACUUCAUACCAGCCACCAAAUAGCACUCCCCUGCUGCCGGCGACACCCUCCAACAUCAAAGAGUCUCUUCCAAAGAUCAAAGGAGGCCGGCGGAGCUCCUCCCUCUCAGGCGACCGGUGCUCCUCCAUCUUAGACGCAGCGAUCUCCUCCAUCUCAGUGUUUUGGAUACUAGCAAGGAUUGUUACAAAGUUAACGUGAUCAUUUUAAAUUAGAAGAGGAAGAAAAAUAUGGAUAUGUCACUAUGCGCUAAGGUGGUGGAUAUGUCAAACCUACAAGAGCUACAAGAUGAAAUCUCUUAUAUCUUGUGUAAGUAUGAGCAAUUCUUUCCUCCUGCAUUCUUUGAUAUAAUGAUUCAUCUGACAGUUCACUUAGUUAGAGAAGUGAAAUGGUGUGGUCCAGUUUACUUUAGAUGGAUGUAUCCGUUUGAGAGAUACAUGAAGAUUCUGAAGGGCUAUGUUAGGAAUAAAACUCGACCAGAAGGGUGUAUUAUUGAAUGCUAUAUUGCAGAAGAGGCUUCUGAGUUUUGCUGUGAAUACAUAUCGGGUUUACAGAGCAUUGGAGUUCGUGAUGUAACCAAUGAUGGGAUUCAAAGUCGUCGAGGUAGUGUUGUAUGCACUGUUAGCCGAGAUGAACGAGAUGAAGCACAUCGUCUUGUGUUGCAGAAUGUAACUGAAAUUGAGCCUUACAUUGAGUAAGUUUAUAUUCAUAAUCUUUAUGAUUGCAUUAUGAAUCCUUGCAAAAUAAGUUUAAUUAAUUGAUUUAACUUUGAAGGAAACAUUUUAAUUGGAUUAAGGCAAAGUACCCAUCUAAAGCUAGGAAUCAAAGAUGGCUACAGAAUGAACAUUAUCGAACAUUUAGUAGUUGGUUAGAGAACAAGGUAAAAAUACAUGAUCUUAAAGUAGUUUUGAUGUUUCUUAGUGUUAUAUGGAUUUUAAUUAAGUAUUUUGUGAAUAGGUUGUGAAUGAAAUGAGCAAAACAUCUACUAAUGUCACUGAUAUUGUCAAGUGGAUUUCCAGAGGUCCUUCUUUCAGUGUGACAAAGUUUUUAACAUAUAUGGUGAAUGGUACUCAGUUUAAUACAGCAGAGUAUGAUAAUGAUAAAACUACACAAAACAGCGGUGUUAGUCUUGUUGCUAGAACUGUUCAAAUAUCUACUUCGAAAGAUAGAAAUCCUGUUCAAUGGUGAGCAUUGGAUGUUGAUAUUAUUAGUGCCCGACUCUUAUUGGUUAUGUUUCAUGGAUCCUAAAAACUCACACUUGAGUAAUCGACCUGAUAUUAGAGAGACGGUCACAUUGGCAUUUCAAACUUACUACAGGGUGAUAAGGAAAGAAAUUCCACCGAAGCUAAAAGUUCGACGCCCAACUUGUCCACAUCAACCGGAAGACACCGAAUGUGGAUAUUAUGUAAUGAAGAUGAUGAAAGAUUUAAUUCAAGCUUCGAACCGGAAACACUUUUUGGCCGAGUUAAGUGAUGCAAAUUAUACAGAAGAAGAAAUUGAUGAAGUUAAAGAGCAUUGGGCAAGUGAGAUGUUAUCGGUUAUUCAAGCUUACCGACGUUAGUUGUUUUUUGUUUUAAUAGACUAAUGGGCAAGUGAUAUGUUAUCGGUUAUUUAGUUGUUUUUUCUUUUAAUAGACCAAUAGUUAUUAUAUAAUUUUAUAGUUAUGGAUUUAUUGGUAUAAUGAACUAAUAUGUAAUAUUUAUUAGUUGUGUUAACGUGAAUUAUUAUAAUAGUCUAAUUUAUAUAAAUUUUACAUUUAGUUAAUUAAAAUUAUUAUUGUUAUAUUUAAUUGUAUUUGUAUAUAAUUAAUAUAAAUUAUUAUUUAUAAUAUAUCAAAUUUGAAUUAAAAUAAAUAAUUAUUAUAUUUUUUUUAAAAAAAUAUAUAAUGUAGUGGCAUUUUUGGUGUGUCACUAUAUCUCUAAAGAUAUUAAUAAAAAAAAAAUAGGAUAUAGUGACACUCCAUGUAAGUGGCUGUUGCUUUUCUAGUCUGACAAAACAUGACACUGUACCUCUACAGUGACGC